UUUAAGUGUGUUCAACGUUUGUUCGUCCGUCUUAUUUGAAAUAAUUUUCUGAUUAGUAUUUUUAUUGUUGUUAGAUGAUAAAAAUAAAUAGUACUUUAUGUGUGAUUUAUUUUUUUUAUAUUUUUUUCAAAUAAUACAAAUGGUCAAACGCUGGACACAGAAAAAACACAUGGG
rnacentral:pre_miRNA from 1 species